rnacentral:rRNA from 1 species
UACGUAGGUGGCAAGCGUUGUCCGGAUUUACUGGGCGUAAAGAGCGCGCAGGCGGUCGAAUAAGUCGAAUGUGAAAGCCCCCGGCUUAACUGGGGAGGGUCAUUCGAUACUGCUCGACUUGAAGGCAGGAGAGGGAAGUGGAAUUCCCGGUGUAGUGGUGAAAUGCGUAGAUAUCGGGAGGAACACCAGUGGCGAAGGCGGGUCUCUGGGCCGAUAUUGACGCUGAGGAGCGAAAGCGUGGGGAGCGAACAGG